rnacentral:rRNA from 1 species
GUCUUGGUCAUUUAGAGGAAGUAAAAGUCGUAACAAGGUUUCCGUAGGUGAACCUGCGGAAGGAUCAUUAUCGAGUUUUGAACGGGUUGUCUGCUGGCUCGCAAGGGCAUGUGCACGCCUGUCUCAUCCACUCUCAACUUCUGUGCACUUUUCAUAGGCCGGCUUGUGGGUGCGUUCGCGCACUUGUAGGUGUCGGGCUUAUGCUUUAUUACAAACGAUUCAGUUUUAGAAUGUCAUACUUUGCUAUAACGCAAUUUAUAUACAACUUUCAGCAACGGAUCUCUUGGCUCUCGCAUCGAUGAAGAACGCAGUGAAAUGCGAUAAGUAAUGUGAAUUGCAGAAUUCAGUGAAUCAUCGAAUCUUUGAACGCACCUUGCGCUCCUUGGUAUUCCGAGGAGCAUGCCUGUUUGAGUCUCAUGGAAUUCUCAACCUUCGGCUUCAUUGACGAAGGCUUGGACUUGGAGGUCGUGCCGGCUCUCGUAGUCGGCUCCUCUGAAAUGCAUUAGUGCGAACGUUACCGACCGCUUCAGCGUGAUAAUUAUCUGCGUUGCUGUGGAGGGUAUUCUAGUGUUCACGCUUCUAACCGUCUUCGGACAAAUUUCUGAACUCUGAGCUCAAAUCAGGUAGGACUACCCGCUGAACUUAAGCAUAUCAAUAAGCGGAGGAGUC